rnacentral:rRNA from 1 species
GACGAACGCUGGCGGCGUGCUUAACACAUGCAAGUCGAACGGAAAGGCCCUGCUUUUGUGGGGUGCUCGAGUGGCGAACGGGUGAGUAACACGUGAGUAACCUGCCCUUGACUUUGGGAUAACUUCUGGAAACUGGGGCUCAUACCGGAUAGGAGAUCCUUCUGCACGGGGUGGGUUGGAAAGUUUCGGCGGUUGGGGAUGGACUCGCGGCUUAUCAGCUUGUUGGUGGGGUAGUGGCUUACCAAGGCUUUGACGGGUAGCCGGCCUGAGAGGGUGACCGGCCACAUUGGGACUGAGGUGCGGGCCAGAGUCCUACGGGAGGCAGCGGUGGGGAAUAUUGCAAAAUGGGCGGAAGCCUGAUGCAGCAACGCCGCGUGCGGGAUGACGGCCUUCGGGGUGUAUACCGCUUUAGCCUGUGACGAAGCGCGAGUGACGGUAAUGGGUAAAGAAGCAACGGCUAACUACGUG